rnacentral:lncRNA from 1 species
UUGUACAUGAAAUAUAAAAAACGUUGAACUCUGUAUGAAGGAGUUACUUUAACUAUUCAAAGUUCAAUGUCAUUUGGCGCUACUACUCAAGUAAUUUUGCCAAACCCCUACAAUUUUACAUUUCUGUCUAAGCUUAAAGGGCGUGGGAAGUUUGGUGAGCUUUGGGGCAUGUAAAGGUUUUAAAGGUUGGGCUCAUUUUUGCAAAGAAAGAAAAAAACACGGAUAAUCAUUGCUAUGUCUGAACACUGAGAGGCUCUCUCUCUUGUGGUCAUGGGGCUCAAAAGUCUUGCAAAUUUUGACUCUGUUGUGGUGAAUAACUAGUAUUGAUUUGUCCUGAAUACAUUAUGUCAUUUACAAUGGGCAGGACUCAAAUACAUCUUUAUUUAAUAGAAUGAUGUGCUUAAUGAGACCGUAGUCUAUACAUGAUCCAACCAAAUCUUCGUAUAUUUUCAGGUACAGAUUACCUUUAUCGAUAUAAAUUUAAGAAGCUUCAGAGUUGUGUUUUAAAGCCGAAAAAGUUCAGAUUUUUUAGACACUUAUUCAACAAAGAGGGGACAGUAUGAAAAAGAGUCAAGCAUGCAGUUCUUAUUCAAGGACACUGAGAUAAAUGAGCUUAAAAAGGGACACAGAGUGGACUUACUUUCAACAACAUAACCUUUACCUCCCCCAAAAUAAAACCAUAUGGUGUCAAAAAGUGCUGACCAAAUGUGCCUCCUGCACUCUGUGAUCAUGUUGGCAGAGUUAUCCGUGGUUUUUUAUUUUUAUUUAUUCCUAAAGGAGUUUGUUCUUCCGUUCAGGCUCAUGUGUUCUCAGCACACGCUCACGUCGACUUCAGAGGCUGAGGGACUCUGCAGGGACAUGCGAGGGCUGCUGACAGACCCGCUGUGUCCUUCAGGAUGUUUACAUGAGAACGAGGUCUGAGAGGACCACAGGCUGUCACGUCCAUGCUGAUGUGAUGUUUAUUAAGCUUAUAGCAACAUUAACAACAAGUUAUCUGUGAUGAAAUGUACACGACACACAAGAGGCAUCCCCCAGUGAUGAAACAUGGAGACGAUGCAGAAGUGCCCUAAUUACAGUUCCUCAAGUGUCCUCUUAGAGCUGUAUCCAAAAGUCAAGGAGACCUCUUUAGAAAUGCAUUUUUUUACAGCAGAAAUUUGUUGAAUACCAUUUGGUCCUCAUUUAUUAAACUGUGACAAAUGUACAGUCAGGUUUAACAUUUCCUCCUUGAAGAUGAUGUUUUUGAAGCAGGACAAACUGGGGAGCGAAAGGAUGUGAGGGAUUAAACUGUGGGGGCUCAAUGACAUUUCAUAAAUGCAGCUCGAAUCUGCAGUGGUACAGUACCUGCCAAAGUAUUCUGAGAAAGGAGGACCAAUAGACUGCCAACAAGGUAGUGAUGUGCAUAGAUAGUAAUUAAAUUAGUAUUGAGUAUUCAUCAUAGAUUGUGUAUACUAUGGACAACUUGGUUCAGCCUUCCGCCAGUAUAUGGAUUUGAAGCCGAAAAGCUCUCGGCAGUUCCACGUUUUUUCUCCACUUCCUGAAAACAACAUCGCGCAGUAGCGUUGUGCGCAUUCAGCGGGAGAGUCUCUCUGUGAUGACGCUCGGCUCAAACAGCGUAAUCUCAGGUGAGCUACGCAAUCCUUGUAUGCUCAUAGGCUGUAUCAAGUGUCAGUCAUAGAAAACAUAAACCCUCUAAUCACACUUUAAAAGUAGGGUUGUAUUGGUUACAUAUCACUAGUAAGGUUCUGCCCUUUUAAUGAGAAAGUGCAAAAAAACAUUACUUUUCUAUAUGAUUUAUUUAAUACAUGUAUAGUAUAACACAUUUUUUCAUGUAUAGCACUUUAAUUCAGGGUUAAACUCGUGCUAACUCAUCUUGAUAAAUAGAGUUAUACAUGGCAGCUAUAAAUGGGUUGACAGAGUGAAUAAAAGAGAGGUUUGAGACGGUAAUGUUGUCAGAUAACAGCUGUGGCUCUACCUCAGAUGUUGAGCUGAUGUGCUGAGUUGAUGUGAGGCACUCCUGUGUACUCCACGAUCCCCUCCAGGCUCCAAUUUAAACAAUUCAGGGAUCAACCUGAGGACUGAUGAAACCCUGAACUCACAGUGAAUCAGUGUCAGGAUCAAAUGAGUGUACCUGAGCUUCAGAAGUAAAACUGAGGAGAAAUGAGUAAAGUCGGCUUCAGUAUCUGUGACAUAUGUUUCAGGUUUGGAGUUGAACAGAGAUCUGCAGAGUUAAAGCGUCUCUGAUUAUGUUUCUCUGAAAGUACAACAUAAAUUCAUUCAUUUUAAUCCCUCGCUGCUGUAACUUUUACACUAAUGUCAGAGUAUUUGGUUAAGAACUGUGCUGUAUUUGAACCAGCCACUUUAUAAGUCAGAAAUGAGUAUAUUUGGUGGAUAAGAGGAUGGUUUGGCAUUCGUCCAGUGAUGUUUUGUUGUUUUUUCUGUGUUUUCAGAGACAGGCUUGAAGGCUUGGGUAGGACAAACCGCUAUGCAAUAAAGGAAACCCGACUUUAGCGUCUAUUUUACUUUGAGUUGGACCAAAAUUUAUUCAAUUAAAAACAGGGUGUGUCUCAAAAAACUGGAGAUUAAGACCGAUUAAAAGUUGUUUACUGAAGCAUUAAAUCAACUUGGAAGUCAUUUGCCAUUUUCUUAUUGACUUCCAUUACCCUGAGUUGUUUGAGAGAAUACACCCCCUGCUGGAUAGAAUAAAAAUGCAGAUUUAAGAUGCUGCUGCCCUGGUUCAGACCUGGAUUAUCUAGGGUCUGGCUUACCUGACCUGAAAUGAGUAAUUGUACAGCCAAAUAAGAGUUUUAUUUUAUAGCCAGAUUGUGGGGAUGCGGCAGCAGGGUGCCUGGGCACGAUGGGAGCAGGUGCUGGACCGGAAAAUGUCGUGGUCGGAGCUUUGGAAGUCCGAGCCACACCGUAUUAUGUUCCUGAUCCAGUCAGUCUAUGAUGUCCUCCCCAGCCCAUCCAACCUCUUCUGCUGGGGCCUGGCAGAGACCCUUGCGUGCCCACUCUGCAUGAAAGGGGAUCCAUGGAGCACAUCCUGAGCAGCUGCAGGAAGGCCCUAGGAGAGGGUCACUACCACUGGCGUCAUGAUCAGGUGCUGCGGGUCAUCGCAGAAGUCAACUGCUCAGGGAUCAUCAAGAGCCGGCAGCAGCAACCAGCAAAGAACAUCAUAGCUUUUGUCAAGGCUGGGGAGAAGGUGCACCACUCCUCAAGAACAACAGGAGGGCUUCUAACAACAGCCCGGGACUGGCAGUUGAAGGUUGACCUAGGGAAACAGCUCAAAUUUCCAGCUUCCAUCACUGAGACCUCCCUCAGGCCAGACAUAGUGCUGGUGUCAGAAACAUCCAGACAGGUGGUAAUGUUGGAGUUGACUGUUCCUUGGGAAGACCGGAUGGAGGAGGCCUUUGAAAGGAGGAGAGCCAAAUAUGAAGAGCUGGCAAGCGAGUGCCGACAGAAUGGUUGGAAUACCCGGUGUGACCCCAUUGAGGUGGGGUGUAGGGGCUUCGCGGGCCAGUCUCUCUGUAGAGCACUGAAGAGGCUGGAGGUGAGAGGGCUGCACAGCAGGAGAGCCAUCAAGGCCAUCUCAGAUGCCACAGAGAGGGCAUCAAGAUGGCUGUGGAUCAAGCAGGGUGAACCGUGGACUACUAAAGCUACUGAGACACAAGUCGGGGCUUGGGUCGCCCAGGUGAGGGUGUAUGAUGUUGAAUGACUCGAAACACCAGAGGACCCUGGGUUACAUCACUGAUGAUGUGUCCAAGUAUGCAUCGCAAGAUGUCUGAAAGAACAUAGUAUUUUGAAUUCUUGUUAAUGUGGGAUUUUUAAUUGGGAUGUUAAAUUGUCUGGAAGAAGACUAUGGCAAACACCAACUGAGGUCCUUUAAAUGAGGAUGAUUAAGGUUCAAACACUUACAUAAAACUCCUAAAAACUGUCAGAGAUGUUGAACACAAACAGCUUAAGCUUUCAAACCAUCUUUACCUGGACUUUUUCCUUCUUCCUCCAAGUAAAAUCUUCUCUAAUUAGUCAAAUACAGUUUCAUUCAGCCAGUGCAUAAAGGAAAUUAGGACAAGCAUCUCUGAUAAUGAAAUAUAAGCGACGCAUUCUCUGUUUGCGUUGCAUACUGAGCUGUCUGGAUGUGUUAUUCAGGUUGUUAUUCCCUCACAGGGUCACAGCAGGAUAAAACACAUGGAGGAUGAGGGGCUGCAAAAAGCAUGAGGCAAAAAGAGCCUGACUGCAGGAGGAGUUGACAGGCAGUGUGAGAAGUUUCCCCGUGCUGCACCGUCAAACCCAGAAUCUAAUGUCUAAUUCAUAUGGUGCACAUUAGGAGGAGGAGAUGGAGGAAGAGGAGGAGGAAGAGGCAUGUGCAGAUCACAGGCUUCCCCAAAGAGUGUCAACCCUUCACUGUCACUCUUUUUGUCUGCAGGUCCGCUUGUACCUGACAGGUUUGGGGCUCCAAAAUGUCA